UACGAAGGGGACUAGCGUUGUUCGGAAUUACUGGGCGUAAAGCGUGCGCAGGCGGCUUUGCAAGACAGAUGUGAAAUCCCCGGGCUCAACCUGGGAACUGCAUUUGUGACUGCAUGGCUUGAGUGCGGCAGAGGGGGAUGGAAUUCCGCGUGUAGCAGUGAAAUGCGUAGAUAUGCGGAGGAACACCGAUGGCGAAGGCAAUCCCCUGGGCCUGCACUGACGCUCAUGCACGAAAGCGUGGGGAGCAAACAGG
rnacentral:rRNA from 1 species